GAUGAACGCUGGCGGCGUGCCUAAUACAUGCAAGUCGAGCGAACGGACGAGAAGCUUGCUUCUCUGAUGUUAGCGGCGGACGGGUGAGUAACACGUGGAUAACCUACCUAUAAGACUGGGAUAACUUCGGGAAACCGGAGCUAAUACCGGAUAAUAUUUUGAACCGCAUGGUUCAACAGUGAAAGACGGUCUUGCUGUCACUUAUAGAUGGAUCCGCGCUGCAUUAGCUAGUUGGUAAGGUAACGGCUUACCAAGGCAACGAUGCAUAGCCGACCUGAGAGGGUGAUCGGCCACACUGGAACUGAGACACGGUCCAGACUCCUACGGGAGGCAGCAGUAGGGAAUCUUCCGCAAUGGGCGAAAGCCUGACGGAGCAACGCCGCGUGAGUGAUGAAGGUCUUCGGAUCGUAAAACUCUGUUAUUAGGGAAGAACAUAUGUGUAAGUAACUGUGCACAUCUUGACGGUACCUAAUCAGAAAGCCAUGGCUAACUACGUG
rnacentral:rRNA from 1 species